ACCUCUUCAAAAAGAAGAAAGGCCUUACUGGUCAGCUUUUGGCUGAACUUUUAUACCAGACAAAGACAACUGAGCCAACAGACGUCAGAUGCCUUUGUCUUCGGGGACUGCCGGUCACCUUGGGCGAUGAUCCUUCUGCUUUCUUCAAGACCUGCUUUGACACAGCUGACAAUGACUUGUACAGGCAAACUCCAGUGGGAUUGCUUUUCAUCGGUGAAGAGAACCUUAAGCUGAACCCAUCCAAAGUGGGAAUCAUCUUGGAAGGGAAUGUGGUGAUGGAUGAUCUGACCAACCUU